rnacentral:rRNA from 1 species
UGACGGGUAACGGGGAAUUAGGGUUCGAUUCCGGAGAGGGAGCCUGAGAAACGGCUACCACAUCUAAGGAAGGCAGCAGGCGCGCAAAUUACCCAAUCYUAAUACAGGGAGGUAGUGACAAGAAAUAACAAUACAGGACUUUAAAUAGUUUUGUAAUUGGAAUGAGUUAAGUAUAAACCCCUUUACAAGUAUCAAUUGGAGGGCAAGUCUGGUGCCAGCAGCCGCGGUAAUUCCAGCUCCAAUAGCGUAUAUUAAAGUUGUUGCAGUUAAAAAGCUCGUAGUUGGAUUUCUGUUAAUAAUUUAUAUAUAAUAUUUUAUUAAUAUUUAUAUAGUAUUAACAUAAUUCAUAUUACUAUAUUUUAUAGUAUAUGAAAUUUUACUUUGAGAAAAUUAGAGUGCUUAAAGCAGGCAUUAGCCUUGAAUACUCCAGCAUGGAAUAAUAUAAAAGAUUUUUAUCUUUUUUAUUGGUUCUAAGAUAAAAAUAAUGAU